GGCGAUUCAUGACAGCUGAGUUCCUUUUGGAGGAUCCGUCUUCAGGCAGUCUGAUCCCCCAGGAAAGCAGCUGGAAAACAAGAGCAUGUGAAGGAAGCGCAGCAGCUCCUCGCCAGCCAGACAGCCAGCCCCGCACCGCAGGAGUCGACAUGCACGGCAGCCUAGACGCCAUCAGUUAAACUUAUAUGUAGGCUUGUUGAGGAAAACGACUUUCAAACACAAGGCAAAAGAAAAACAUGAAACCAAGGGUUCCAACAUUCAUCAUCCAGUUUCAGAGACACCCUUGAAGGAAUGCUACAGCCUCUUUCUUACCCAUUCAAACCAGUCGCUCUGCUGCAUACCCACAUCACAGGAGGCCCUCAGCCCCGACACACAGGCUCACUCAGCCCGGGGACAUCAGCACCUGUGCCAGCUCCGCAAGGUAUCCACCAUGCGGCCAGAACUGAGGCCCAGCAAUAGCUGAAAUGUCCUUUAAAUUAACAUGUACAACACACAACCCCCAAGAGCUGACAUCCCCAAAGCCCCACCACAAAUAGCUGACUCCUACUUAUACCUGCAGGAGCAGGUAGUGACCUCUGCAAUUCUAAACCGUCCACUUUGGGCAAAAUUCAUCAAGCUAUGGAUAUGAAAAAAGGCCCCCAAGGAUAUGAUUCAUAGUCCAGCGUUUGAGUGAGCACUCCAGUCAGAACGAACUCUGCAUUGUGAACAUCUGAACAGGGUGGAAACAGACACUUUAGUUAGAGAUCCACUGCUGUGCGUGCACACAUACUCACACAGGGCAAUGACGGACUCGCUGGCGGACUCCACUCUACCCACCGAGUUCUGCUUGUGCUCCAUGAGCUUCCGGAAAGAUGGCUGCUUGGAUAACACCUUUCCUCCUGCACACUCUACGAUUGCCUUCAUAGUGGAAAGACUUGGGCAGAUUCCAGUAAAGAAAAGUUCUCUAGAGAUGUGCUGUGGUUCACAGGAGGAAGACCUCCAGUGGCAAUGUCCAAGAAGGAAGCCAAGAGUGUACCUUAAAGAGUGGAGAAACGUGUGCCCGUUUUAAGGAUUCUUCCAAGCUGAAAGAGAAAAGUACUUCUGCCUCAGCAUCUCGGAGAAUGUAGUUCUGCUCAUCUGGAAAACAGAACAGCACAUACUCUGAAAAGUGUGGACACGUGAAGUGUGGCAAGUGUGACCCACAAAAUUCUCGCCCAUAUUCAGCGUAUGGACCAGUUUGCUGACUGCUGGGCAGGAGCAACCACAUCAUGACAGAAAUGCAGGGAUCUGUUCACCAACGGCCAGAAAUACAAAAUCAAUCCCUGAGUCAACCAGCAGAUAGAAAGGCUGCUUUUUAGGUGAAAGGAGAAAAAGAAUGUCUAAAAUUUGG
rnacentral:lncRNA from 10 species